GACGAUAUCUAUGCUGGUGUCUGU
rnacentral:siRNA from 1 species